UAGAACAGGAUGGCAGUGCGGUGGUUGUAGAUUGGGUCAGCCAUGAUCAACACUUUGAAUCGAUCGGAACUGGGAGGAGCACAACAGCUAACUUGAGGAGAAGGAGGAAGAGAACUUGAGCAAAGCUUUUGAAAUGGCUUUCUUUAAGCUCCAAAAACUCAUUAAUUAUUCUGUGUGGCAUAGAAUAUUAUUGCCUUACCGAGAAUCAUUAUUGCCUAUAAGAAGAUGUAAAAUGUUAUUGCUUAAGAGAGAGUUAUAUAAAGAGAAAAAUUAUUACCUCUUGGUAAGGUGAAGAAGUUUUUUGGAAAGGUAAAAAGGCUCCUUGGGAAGGUGCAUGAGAAGAAUUAUUACCUUUGGAAAGAUAAAAAGGCCUUUUGGAAAGAUAAGAAGAAUUAUUAUAUAUUGAAAAGAUGAAAAAGCCUCUUGAGAAGAUGAAAAGGCAAAAGAGAUAGUUAAGAAAGAGAGAGGCUUAAGAGAGGAAUAAAAUUAAGCAAGAGCUCGACACGUAAGCUCUCAAAAAUCAUCAAAUUAUAUAUUUGUAUGGAUGAGUCUUAUCCUCCUUUAAAGCAUAACUAGUUAAGUCACCCGCGCGUUGCGGCGGGUCGAUCCUGCGAAAGAAAAUUAAUAAAUACAUAUUUAAAAAAAUCAGAUAAGAACUAAAAGUAUAUUUAUAAUUAAUUUUCGUCAAAUAUAAAAUUAAUUUAAGCUAUAUCAAAUUUUUUAUUUUUUAAUGUAUAAUUUAUAUGUAAAUGCUCAAUAUUAUUAUAAAAUUAAUAUUUAUAUCUAAUACCAGUAGUCUAAAUUAUUUAAUAUUUAUUUAUAUAUUUUAUAUUUUAUAAAAAUAAAUGGUAAAUUAUAUAAUAAAUUAUUAUAUAAUAAUAUAU
rnacentral:lncRNA from 1 species